rnacentral:rRNA from 1 species
ACGGGGUGCAGCAGGCGCGAAACCUUUACACUGCACGCAAGUGCGAUAAGGGGACUCCGAGUGUGUGGGCAUAGAGCCCACACUUUUGUGUACCGUAAGAAGGUACACGAAUAAGAACUGGGCAAGACCGGCGCCAGCCGCCGCGGUAAUACCGGCAGUUCGAGUGAUGGCCGAUUUUAUUGGGCCUAAAGCGUCCGUAGCCGGCCGGGCAAGUCCGUUGGGAAAUCUGUUCGCUUAACGAACAGGCGUCCAGCGGAAACUGCUUGGCUUGGGACCGAAAGACCUGAGGGGUACGUCCGGGGUAGGAGUGAAAUCCUGUAAUCCUGGACGGACCGCCGAUGGGGAAACCACCUCAGGAGGACGGAUCCGACGGUGAGGGACGAAAGCUAGGGUCUCGAACCGGAUUAGAUACCCGGGUAGUCCUAGCUGUAAACGAUGUCUGCUAGGUGUGGCACAGGCUACGAGCCUGUGCUGUGCCGUAGGGAAGCCGAGAAGCAGACCGCCUGGGAAGUACGUCCGCAAGGAUGAAACUUAAAGGAAUUGGCGGGGGAGCAC